UACGUAGGGGGCAAGCGUUGUCCGGAUUUAUUGGGCGUAAAGAGCUCGUAGGCGGUUCGGUAAGUUGGGUGUGAAACCUCCAGGCUCAACCUGGAGACGCCACCCGAUACUGCUGUGGCUAGAGUCCGGUAGGGGAGCGUGGAAUUCCUGGUGUAGCGGUGAAAUGCGCAGAUAUCAGGAGGAACACCAGCGGCGAAGGCGGCGCUCUGGGCCGGAACUGACGCUGAGGAGCGAAAGCGUGGGUAGCAAACAGG
rnacentral:rRNA from 1 species